rnacentral:rRNA from 1 species
ACUCCUACGGGAGGCAGCAGUAAGGAAUAUUGCGCAAUGGGCGAAAGCCUGACGCAGCGACGCCGCGUGGGGGAUGAAGGUCUUCGGAUUGUAAACCCCUUUCGGCAGGGAAGAUGGGGCGGGCAACCGCUCGGACGGUACCUGCAGAAGCAGCCACGGCUAACUUCGUGCCAGCAGCCGCGGUAAUACGAAGGUGGCAAGCGUUGUUCGGAUUUACUGGGCGUACAGGGAGCGUAGGCGGUUAGGUAAGCCCUUCGUG